GACGAACGCUGGCGGCGCGCUUAAUACACGCAAGUCGAGCGAGAACCAGGGCUUCGGCUCUGGGGACAGCGGCGAACGGGUGAGUAUCACGUGAGUAAUCUGCCCUCGGCACCGGGAUAGCCCGGGGAAACCCGGAUUAAUACCGGAUGGCCUCUCGAGCCCUCGGGCUCGUGAGAAAAGGUAGCUUCGGCCUCCGGCCGGGGAGGAGCUCGCGGCGGAUUAGCUUGUUGGUGGGGUAACGGCUCACCAAGGCGACGAUCCGUAGCUGGUCUGAGAGGACGAGCAGCCACACUGGGACUGGGACACGGCCCAGACUCCUACGGGAGGCAGCAGUAGGGAAGCUUGCGCAAUGGGCGAAAGCCUGACGCAGCGACGCCGCGUGCGGGAAGAAGGCCUUCGGGUUGUAAACCGCUUUCAGGAGGGACGAAGCCACUCGGGUUAAUAGCCCAGAGGGUGACGGUACCUCCAGAAGAAGCCCCGGCUAACUACGUGCCAGCCGCCGCAGUAAAAC
rnacentral:rRNA from 1 species